UAGGCGUACGGGUGAGUAACACGUGGAUCAUCUACCUUUUAGUGGGGAAUACCGUUGGGAAACCGACGACAAUACCGCAUAAUCCCGAGAGGGGAAAGCAGCAAUGCGCUGAAAGAGGAGUCCGCGGCUGAUUAGCUAGUUGGUAGGGUAAUGGCCUACCAAGGCAUCGAUCAGUAGCCGGCCUGAGAGGGCACACGGCCACACUGGCACUGAAACACGGGCCAG
rnacentral:rRNA from 1 species